AUGGACCUAACAUUCCAGGUUCCUAUGCAAUAUUGUUCUAUAGAGCAUUGGAUUUUACUUCCACCACCAGUCACAUCCACAACUGGGUGUUGUUUUUGCUUUGGCUCCAUCCCUUCAUUCUUCCUGGAGUUAUUUCUCCACUCUCCUCCAGUAGCAUAUUUGGCACCUACCAACCUGGGGUUAAUAUUAACAUGCUUAAUACAUGAAGUUGUCUCAGACACUAAAGAAUCUGCAUUGCACACAGGGAUCGAACCUGGGUCUCCCGCAUUGCAGGCAGACGCUUUAACCUCUGAGCCACCAGGGACUAUAUGGACAGAAGAAACAGGAAGAUGAAACAGAGAAGUGACUUGGGGUUUCCUGAGGGGUGGACUCUGAGAGGGGCUCAGAAAAGCAGCCAGGCAGAUGAAUCUGCACCCAGGUCAGUAUGGUCUAAUAGGGAGUUUCUUUCCAAAGUUAAGUCCUGAUUCAACUCAUGAAGGACAAAUAACCCCAGGAUCCUGCCUUACAGAUAUGGUCAGGGAAAGCAGUUCAGGGUGAUUUCAACACAAAGAACCAACCACUCAUCAGAAAUCGUGGCAAAGAAACAUUGAAGCCUGGGAUACUAGGGCCCCCAAGGCCACAGAGAAGUGGGCAGUGGGCUUCUGUGCACUUGACCUGUCCUGGUUGCCUGGAUCCCUGGCUACUUAGACUUCAAGGCUCUGAAGACAAGAAAUGAAUGAAGUGAGUUUUAAAGCAACAUAAAAUCUAUUAAUUUAGUCACAAGUAUUACUGUUCUUAUCACCAAACUGAUGAAGCAAAGAAACGGAAGACCAUCCUUUCCUUUUGUGUCACUCAGCUUUUGCUAGGUUAGGCUGCAUAACAAAUGUCUUCCCAGAUCUGAGUCUUACAACAACAGGUUCAUUUUUUGCUCCCAUUUCACAUCUUCUAUGAGUCAGUCACAUGUUUUCUUCCAUUUCAGAACCUAGGCUGAAGGUACUUCCCUCUCUGGGACAAGCUGGUCUUGUGGUAGAGAAAAAAGAACCGUAGGACCUGCAGACAUGCAAUGACUGACAAGCAGUAAAUGCCACUUUCACUUCCAUCUCACUGGCCAGUGGAAGUCAUCUGCCCAAGCCAAUGUUAAUGGGGCAGAGGAAAACAAUCCUCUCACAAGAAGGUGCAUGCAUGCUCAGUCGUGUCUGAUUCUUUGUGACCCUAUGGACUGUUGCCCACCAGGUUCCUCUGUCCUUGAAAUUUUCCAGGCCAGACUACUGGAGCAGGUUGCCAUUUCCUUCUGCAGGGGAUCUUCCUGACCCAGGGAUUGAACUUGCACGUCUUAUGUCUGCCGCUUUAGCAGGCAUAUUCUGCAGCACCAAGCCAUGUCAGCAAAUAAUCGCAAACAACAGUAUGGUCUACCACAGCCCAAGUUUUGCCAGAAAGACUAGGCUAAACCUCUUGCAGCAGAACCUCUUGAAGGCCAAAUAAGACUUUUUUUCCUGCCCCAGUGUCUAGCAGAGUCUGGUUAUAGUAGAGUGUUAAAGAAUGAAAGGAUGGUGCCAGCGUUUAAAGAUGGAAAAUAAGGACAAGGACAUUGCCAUGAGUAGAGAUCAGACAUUCUGACAUCAGUCUUUAACUUUUUUUUCCUUGCCCACGCCAAACAGCAUAUAGGAUCUUAGUUCCCCAACUAGGGAUAGAACCCAUGACUCCUGAAGUAGGAGGAUGGAGUCUUAAUCACUGGACCACCAGGGAAGCCCCAGCCUUUUAUCUUUCCAUUAUUGCAUCAUUCUAAAAUGCAGCUGCCUAAAAAACUUUGACCUUGCACAUGGCAGUAACUUUGCUUUUCAGAAAUCAUUCUUGCCUCAUAUCAAGACAACAAAACCAACUCUUGUCUAAGGAAUUUGAAGAUGGAGAGGGGUGAGUGAGAUUGCAGGGGGCAGUGAUGGUGGUAUUAAACCAGGAAGCAUAGUGCUUUUGACUUAUAAUGUGCUUUUGCAUACAUUAACUCAUUUGACCUUCCCAGAACCUGGUGAGGAAGCAAAGGCUAUUUAGGCUGUUUCACCAUGGACAGAGGAGCCUGGUGGGCUGAGGUCCAUGGGGUCACUAAGAGUCGGACACGACUGAGAGACUUCACUUUCACUUUUCUCUUUCAUGCAUUGGAGAAGAAAAUGGCAACCCACUCCAGUGUUCUUGCCUGGAGAAUCCCAGGGACGGGGGAGCCUGGUGGGCUGCCGUCUAUGGGGUCACACAGAGUCGGACAGGACUGAAGCGACUUAGCAGCAGCAGCAUGACGAAGCAACGGGUUUCCCAGGUGGUGCUCAGUUCAGUUCAGUCGCUCAGUCGUGUCUGACUCUUCGCAACCCCAUGAAUUGCAGCACGCCAGG
rnacentral:lncRNA from 1 species